rnacentral:rRNA from 1 species
AUACGUAGGUGACAAGCGUUAUCCGGAUUUACUGGGCGUAAAGGGCGUGUAGGCGGUCUUGCAAGUCAGAAGUGAAAUUCCUGAGCUCAACUCGGGCGCUGCUUCUGAAACUGCAGGACUUGAGUGCUGGAGGGGAUAGCGGAAUUCCUAGUGGAGCGGUAAAAUGCGCAGAUAUUAGGAAGAACACCGGUGGCGAAGGCGGCGAUCUGGACAGUAACUGGCGCUGAGGCGCGAAAGCGUGGGGAGCAAACAGGAUUAGAUACCCUGGUAGUCCACGCCGCAAACGAUGAAUACUAGGUGUUGGGAGACAAUAGUUUCUCGGUGCCGCAGCAAACGCAAUAAGUAUUCCACCUGGGGAGUACGUUCGCAAGAAUGAAACUCAAAUGAAUUGACGGGG